AUAGGCUUUCCACAAGGGUCGCAUUCCAUUCCCAGAGCUAUGAACAUCUGCUUUUCUGGGAUAGGAAUCUUGGUGAUGUGAAACCUCCCUGACUGCACGUCCAUUCAUAGGCUUUCUGCAGGGGGAAGCACAUCACACGCUGUUGGCUCAUUCUGGCAGUCCAACCUGGCAUUGUCUUUACACAAUCCUGCAUGCAACUUUUUAUUUACAGUAAUCAGGAGCAGUUCAUCUUUUAUUCCGUAGCAAUAGUUUCAGGGGGUCUCCCUACAAGCAGUCUUUCUCCAGCCAGGAUACCACGCAAUGUUUUAAGUUUCUUUAUUCUUAUGUACUAUGACAUUACAGAACUGUCUUGAAAUUUUGGUGUGAUUUUGCUGACCUACCUUCUGAGAGUAAGAUGCGACCAGACAGCUGACACUCCCAAUACUGGUUCAAAUACCCUGUUCUCUUGCAUUCUGAAGAUGCUCGUCACUCCUGUGGAUUGAUGCAGGGUAGAGGCAUUAUCUUGAACCUCAUAAACUUCCUAUCCUCUUCAAUACAAAGUGAACAAACGGCGUCGUUUCUCAAAAUUUGUUCAGUACUGGAAUGCACGGCAUUCUCCCUUCACAUGAAACUCAAAUCAUUCCAGUUUACUUCUGCUUCUUCCUCCAGGAAAUGGAUACAAACAUGGGAUGGACCUUGGUCAUCGACGUGCUCCAGAUGUCUCAGUUGCAAACGCCUGGACAAUGAGGAUGUUAGCUGAGAAGAGGGAGUCCUGAAAUGCCAGUUAACCCAGCAGAAGUUGAUAAGCUCACUCACAGCCAGGGACAUGGUUUCCCAGGUAUACAGUUCUAUUGUAAAGGAGGCGAUGGGUUUCUUCUCCUCUGCCGACCCACUGAAUUUUAUAAGAAAAGCCAGUGGGCUCCCAGACAAAGUUAAAAAGAUCCAUCAUCAAUGUGGUUCCUUUUCUCUGCACCAUAAAUAACAGCUGAGGAAGGGGAACAUCUCCCACAACACGGUGGCAUCGAACUUUAACCAAUUUUGGAAUAUAGUGUUUGUUAAGCCUUCUUGGGAUGGGAGCCAAGAGUACCUGCGUGCCCAUCAUUUGUCUCAUGGCCUUCCAGGUUUUGGACGAAGACACUCCAAGUCUAAGCAUAGAGAAAUUUGCAUCUGAUUUCAGUUGUACUUGCCAGAUGGAAGAUGGACUUUUGUAGGUUUUUAUAUAUGGCUCAUCUGGGUUGGCCCCAGUUUAUGUCCCUGGUUCCAGUUAAAUUAUUAAAAGCAACUUCUUUUACUUUCAAAAUUGUCCUGGUUUGGAUAAUAAGUUAUGUGGUCACUGUAGAUGUAUACUGAGAAACACAGGGCUUCAUAUGACCUCUAGUUUUUUCCCAUUCCCCAUUAGAUGCUCAUUCUGUGUAUUGGAACCCCCCUUCCCAUCCAUCAGCUACUCAUUGUAGUCAGGAGACUUACUAUCAGAGAUAACAUUUACAGGCUGGGAGAAAAGAAAAAGAAAAGAAAAACCGUAAUUCUAGUUUCCACCAUAUGCAAGGUACUACCCUAGAGGCUUUUCAAGAAAGUCAUGCUUUCAUUCUAAGAACAAUUCCAUAAAGUACUACCAUUCAUCAAUUUCAAGAUGCACAGUUUUUCAUUCAUUAAUAUCUCAAAAUUAGGCUGAGCUGUAUAAUUGAUGUUGUCUUAUAAUUACUGUUGGCCAUGCGGUGUUAUGAUGUACUCAUCAUUGUCUUUGCAUGAACCCUGUCAAAACUCACAGAUGACCAGGAGGGGCCAAGGGGAUUCUAUUUGCUUAUUUGUGUGAACCCAAAAUGCCUGCUUCCUCAAUUAAGCCUUCACUCUGAGUCUUGCCUCCAGCUUUUAAAGUUUUCUUUUCCCCCUCUUUAACAGAUCUCAGUCUUCCACCACACUGCAGGCACUGGGCCCAGGAGGGCUUUGCCUCUGUUUGCUUUCUCUUCUCUAAGCAGCAUCUGCUCCUGUACCACCACUGAGGAUACCUCCUUUUCCUAAAAUCCCCAAUCCCCUGCUGCUUUUAAUUUCAUAAUUAUCAGCCAUGAGCAUUGUGAUCCUUGGUGACUCAGGGGCAAACGAUGCAGGUCUUGGCAGCAACUUCCUCCUACCCAACUCCUCUCUGCAAUGCUUAUCUUUCUUGAAAACUUAUCUCAUGUCACCUGCUGGUGACAGCUUUCCCUGAUUGACACCGAGUCUGUUCUGGUGCUCCCCAUCUGCCUAUCAUGGACCCUGCGACCUUGUGUCUUUUGGCUUUAUAUCUCCAGCAACUGACAAAGUAUCUGGCAUGUAGGAGACACUUGACAAAUGCUUCUUGAGAAAAUAA
rnacentral:lncRNA from 10 species